AAUAAAUUUUAUAUAGUUUAAAAAAUUUAUUUUAAGUUUAUUUUACAUAUAAAUUUUAGUGUUAAUAAUUAAUUAUUUAAAAAAUAUUUAUUAUUUGUAGUAAUUAAUAUUAAAAAUUUAAGAAAUUAAGAUUUAGUAAUAUUGAAAUUAUUAACAAAUUUUGUGCCAGCAGUUGCGGUUAUACAAAAAUUAAAUUAAAUUUUAUUAGUUAUUAAAUAAUUAAAAAUUUAUUUAUAAUUUAAAUUUAAAAUUAUUAGGUGAAAUUUUAAUUUUAUUGAAUUUUAUAUAUUUAAAAUUUAUGAUUUUGUAAAUUUUAAUUUUAAACUAGGAUUAGAUACCCUAUUAUUAAAAAAUUUAAAUUUAUUAAUACUAAAAUAGUAUAUAAUUAUUUAUUGAAACUUAAAUAUUUUGGCGGUAUUUUAGUUUAUUUAGAGGAAUCUGUUUAUUAAUUGAUAAUUCACGAAUAAAUUUACUUAAUUUUUAUUAUUUUGUAUAUCGUUGUUAAAAAAAUAUUUUUUAAUAAUUAAUAAUAUUUUAAAAUUAUAAUUUAAAAUUUAAAUCAAAUCAAGAUGCAGAUUAUAAUUAAGAAUAUGAUGGAUUACAAUAAAUUUAUUUAAAUGAAUUUUAAUUUGUAAAAAUUAAAUGAAAGUGGAUUUAAAUGUAAUUUUAUUUAUUUUAAUAAAAUGAUUAAAAAUUAAAAUAUGUACAUAUUGCCCGUCGCUUUCAUAAAUAAAUUGGAAUAAGUCGUAACAAAGUAGAGGUACUGGAAAGUGUUUCUAGAAAGAC
rnacentral:ncRNA from 1 species